AUCAACAUCCCUACAACUUGAACUAAAACUUAAUCGAGGAACAACAUCCAACAGGAACAACAUCCCUACAACUUAACUAAUCCUGAAAGCAUCCACCGUCAUCAUCAUCAUUGCAGUAUACUUGCCACGCACCCAUAUAAUCAUCCAUAUAUCUUUUGAAUCUGCAAAGAAAAUAGAAAAAUGAACUGUUAACACACAAUGAAUUGACAUGAUGCAAGUAUUGAUAGAGGAAAGAUAUUAAACGCCUACAAAGGUUGAAGGUCAUGCAAUCUUUGUUUUAAUGCAUUACCGAGUAUUGUCGUUUUCAUGACUCAGCACCAAAUCUUCAGUUUUCAAAAGUGCCACAUUGACAUGCACUACCCAAAAUCCAUUUGUAAUUUCAGCACCAUCAAGAUUAAAUUUGGGACCACAACUUACAACUAUAGCAAGAGUUACAUACCUGUUAUGAUUAUCAAAAGACACCGGCAUUCAAGGGCAAUGUGAGUGACAGUACCACUUCUCUUCUCUUCUCUCUAGUUAGUUAACAAACUGAAAGAAAACGGUUUUAGCCAUCUGAAACUGAACAAAAACAUUUAGCUCUAGUUGGUUUCAGUCAUCCAACAGGAAACAGACAAACCUAUGGGUGCUCACAGCGCUUUGGAACAAACCUACAGCCCCAAAUAAACUGAAUUGAAUUUACAUGGUCAUCAGCAGCCUAGAGAUCCAUUGCUAAUUCUGUACACCUAUAGUCAAAGCUUUUUUGUGUGAACCAACUGAUAUAUUUAUCCACUGAAACCUACAGCCCCAAAUCCUAUAAAUUUGCAUGGACAUCAGCAUAGAUACUAGCAUGGCUCAAUGGCCGUGGACACAACGAGUAGUAGCACGGUAGGGAGAGGGAGAGAGUAUACCAACCAUGGCAUCGUCCAUGACAUGCUCCACUUACUCGACUUGCUCCAUGGCGUCCCCCUGCAUAGAGUUGGUGUGUGUGGCUGUAAAACCAAAGGAAAAAGGUCACAUGUAUAUUCCUCAAGAACAGCGCAACACAAGUAAACCUUCAUCAAGUUCCAUUCUUUCUAAAUAAAAGAAGAGCAAGCUAUAUUCCUCCGUUCUAUGUGUCCUAGUUACUACCUUGCCAACUUUACAUGUCGCUCAAUGAAUUUAUCCCCGAGUUAGUAAGACUAGUCAUCAACCCAUGCGUCUCCAUGGGCUAGACAAUUUCAGUUUGCCAUAUUUAACUCAAACAUUUUUAUGUAAGAAAAAUAAUAUUAUUACCAUCAAUUGAAAAAAAACAUACUUUGACUAAUUGAGAAAUAUUACAUGUGUACUGUGUUGGUUUCCAUGUGGCUGAAAUAAAUUUAUUUUAAUAAAGGCAUUUAUACAUACUAUUUAUCAUUCCUAUAAAUAAAGUUUCCAAAUUAUAAUUUAUAUGAAAAAGUCAGGGAUCCGAGGUUGGUAAAUAUACAGAGGAUACUGGUCAAUAUUGUAAUUUCCUUUAAUUACAUAGCAGAAGUCUAAAUCUUGUGUGCUCCUAAAAUUAGCUGUCUAGAAACCCCAAAUGGGUCCCGUGCUUUAGUGAGUUCGGUUAAAGAAAACAAAACCACACUUUUAAGUUAACAAAAAAAACUAAAGCUAAUGUACAUGAAUAUCUGCUUAUAUAUAUGCAAAGCUUCAUUAAGAACUUUUUUCUGAAAUAAACACGUACAUCACUCAAAUCUUCUACAUAAGAAACAUAUCAAAUGAUUAUGAUAAGCCACCUAUAAACAUCAAAGUGAAAUGGCUGGCUGGGGCAGCAGUGCAGCCCUAAUGUUUGGAACUUUGAUUAUGUGGUGCUGCUGGAGGCGAUUGGAGCUGCAGACCACCCCAACAAGAUGCAUUCACUGCCUACAACACAAUCAAGUCAAGAGGAGUACUCAUCAAUACACACGUACAAAAAGAUAUUUUUUCUUGAUAAAACAACAAUGAUCAAGUCGAUUGCAUAGUUUUCUUCUGUUAUGAGCUUAUAAAGGAUGGAGACUAGAACACGAAUUGACAGCCUCGCCGUUGAAGAUGUGUGCGGCCACCUAAUAUGCUCCUAAUUGCCAUCGCUACACCUCCGCCGCCACAUGAACCAUCUUUAGAUUGAUUUAGUAAUCAGCCUAAAAGAAUAUAUGUUGGGCUUUUGCAUGGCCGGGAUGAUUUGAAGUCACUAAUGCUCCUGAUGUGGCAUGAACCAGAGCAGAGAGGAGGAGUGGACCAACUCACCUGAAGGGGGAGGAGGAAAGCUCCAUGACUGCUUUGUCCCGAGCAACAACAAGGCUGUCCACAUGCCAUUGCUCCCUGCACGUCUAAACGAGUAGAGAAGAGAAGGGCAGAGGUUAGAGAAAGGGGGGAGAGGGGACGAAUCCAGGGGAGGGGGUGCACUCACCGGACGAGAGGAGGACGACAUGGCCACCAGCGAUGGAGCUGAUGCCCGAAACCCUAGCCAUGGGGGAGGACAGGUCGCGGGUGGGCUUUGGUGGCCAUGAGCACCGGAUCUAGCCGGCUGAGAGGACACUGUGGUGUGAGGGGACCCUGAUCUGUGCUUCGCGGUAACAGAAUUCGCCGGACAUCGCCUGAUUCAGCCGCCGCAUGUGGCGCAGCGAGGAGCUGCGUGCAGAGAGAGAUGGGACGCGAGAGGGAUGGGUGGGUGGGGAUGCGGCGGAUCCGGCAGCCUCUGGAGUUGCAAGGUGGGAGGAGCCGAGGUGGGGAGAGGGGCGGCCGACGGCGACGUGGGUCGGAGGGAGAGGAUAAGGUGAUUGGUAGCGAUUUGGGAGAUUAGGGGAAUCGGGGGUCUCAGUUUCUC
rnacentral:lncRNA from 1 species